rnacentral:rRNA from 1 species
UACGGAGGGUGCAACCGUUGCUCGGAAUCAUUGGGCGUAAAGCGCGUGUAGGCGGCAUGUUAAGUCGAGUGUGAAAGCCCUGGGCUCAACCCAGGAAGUGCGCUCGAUACUGGCACGCUAGAGUACGGGAGAGGGUAGCGGAAUUCCCGGUGUAGAGGUGAAAUUCGUAGAUAUCGGGAGGAACACCAGUGGCGAAGGCGGCUACCUGGACCGAUACUGACGCUGAUGCGCGAAAGCCAGGGGAGCGAACGGG